rnacentral:lncRNA from 10 species
AGGAUAUCUGCCAGUGAAUGAGUCUGUUGAAAUCACCACACCAAAUUCAACAUUAAGGGCCAACCCUGACCACAGCUGAGCCGUGUGAAGAGGCUGACAGCGGCGUGGCCACCACCCAGGAUGGAGAGAAAGGCACUGUGAGGUGUUAAUGGAAAAAUCCAACUUCCUUUUCUUCCAAAGAUGAUGACUGAAACCAAAGUGGAGCUUUCCCUUGUGAAGUGAAAGCAAAGUUUUAAAAUUUUUUCUCCUCUGCAAGAAAAUAUAUUUCAGAAAAUCUCUAUCUCAAAAAUGAAGCAAUUAAGAACUGUCUGGCUGUGAGGAUCUGGCCUCAACUUGACUUAAAGCAACAACUUCAGUUACAUAUCAAGAUGUGCGUGAGAAUGAACCUGCUCUGCUCAGCCAACGUGCUGAGUGACUUGAUGUUUGUAAUAAAUAAAUAAAUAAACAACAAACAGGUUGUCAUG